GGAAGAUGUUCUGCCCUUGAUGAGCUUUGGAAGCACUGUAAAUAUCAGGCUCUGCAUGAAUCCUGGAUUUCCGUGAAUAGAUGGAAUUGAAAUUGAAGGAUACCAUCCAAAUAGGGGCCUACCUCUGGACACCUCCUGAGACAUGCCACAAUCUGAAUAUGCUGAACAGCACUUCUGCCCAAGAGCUGCCUCCCAAGCCACAGCCAGUUGCAGAGCUGAUAGCCCUGGCAAGGGUGAAAGGAAGGCUCAGAUGGGAUGAUGUUGUUCU